rnacentral:rRNA from 1 species
AUUGAACGCUGGCGGCAGGCCUAACACAUGCAAGUCGAGCGGUAGAGAGGUGCUUGCAUCUCUUGAGAGCGGCGGACGGGUGAGUAAUGCCUAGGAAUCUGCCUGGUGGUGGGGGAUAACGUUCGGAAACGGACGCUAAUACCGCAUACGUCCUACGGGAGAAAGCGGGGGAUCUUCGGACCUCGCGCCAUUAGAUGAGCCUAGGUCGGAUUAGCUAGUUGGUGAGGUAAUGGCUCACCAAGGCGACGAUCCGUAACUGGUCUGAGAGGAUGAUCAGUCACACUGGAACUGAGACACGGUCCAGACUCCUACGGGAGGCAGCAGUGGGGAAUAUUGGACAAUGGGCGAAAGCCUGAUCCAGCCAUGCCGCGUGUGUGAAGAAGGUCUUCGGAUUGUAAAGCACUUUAAGUUGGGUAGGAAGGGUAGUAACCUAAUACGUUGCUACUUUGACGUUACCGACAGAAUAAGACACCGGCUAACUUCGUGCCAGCAGCCG